GUCUUCAAUCAUUCCUGCUGUUUGCAGAGAGUAAGAAAUCACCCUGGGGAUUUGCUUCUGGGAACAGCGAUCCAUUUCCUAAUGGGAGUCAACUGAGUGUCUGUGAGAAAUGAUUAUGCUGCAGAUGGAGUGACAGGAUGUAGUGUCUGUAGUGAAUAUUUUCAGCCCAGGGAUAACUUGGUGUUCCCUGAAUUGGAUGUGUACUUAGGGUGCCUGAAGGAUCAUCUUAGGCAUAGCACUGGAAAAGUCAAGAAUAAUCAAAAGAUAAGAGCACCAAGUGGGAAGAAGCUGGAAGGACAAUUUUUAGAUUUGACCUUGGGUUCCAGUUCUCAUGGUGGGUCUGUGGUGUCAAAGUACACCUGUACUCUGUGGUGCUGGGGUACCCGUUUGUUCAUGUUUUGAGCUUGGAAGACACACUGGACAUGAAAUUCCAGGGAAGCUGCACUUGCAGUAGUGGCUGGAGCAAGAAGAAGUGGAAGCUGUUUGCUAUCUGCUUGUUCUCCACCUUCAGCUCUGUUUCCUGGGUCCCAGGAAUUGUCUCAUUGUACAGUCUGUGGUGUAACAGUUUCCAUGCAAGGAUAAUUGCAGUGGAAGAAGGCAGUUGAAGCCAAGAGCCUGGACUAGGAUGCCCCAGGCCCCUGCCAAGCGCAGGUUACAAAACAGCAGAAAAAAGUCAACAAAAACAAAACAUGUCAACAGACUGGGAGUAGCACAGAAGAUACACAAAAGAUAACGACCAGUAAUGACCAUUAAUGAUCAUCAACUCCAAACAUCACCCCUGGCGAUGGAGUUGGAGACACUUGGUCUGGAAAAGACUGAUAAGAACACCAAGGAAUGAGCAACAAAUUAGCAUCGGUGGGAAGACAUCCGUAACCAGUAAGAAACCAAAUACUAAGACCUGCGUAACUUGGGAACAAUGAACAUUGAACGAAUUAAUUUCUAUGCGUUUUGACUGUAUAAAGUCUAGGAAAACAAUCUAGUAAAAUUCAUAUGUCAUGGAAUUAUUUUCUCUACACACCUGGGCAAUGUGUGGCUGAAAUGAUUUCUGUUGCACAUCCUGGCCAGAACAACAUCCUGGCCAGAAUAAAGUGUGAAAAAUGCAUGUCUUUUAUGAAUGGCUUUUCGCAAAUAUUAAAAUGAAUAUUAUAUGUGUUGUGUCAGAAAGUAAUGCUGUAUUAAUUCUCUUUAGUACAGUGUUAAAUAUAGUUUUAGGUUAUAAAAAAUGUUAAAAUAGAAAUGAUGAUAUGUAGGAUACUUUUUUUAAAGAAAGGACUCGCAGCGAGAUAGCAGCCACAUGACACCUGAAUCUUGCAGAGAAAAAGAAUUUAUUGCCCUCUUAUCAGAGGAAAUAAACUUCUUCCCGCUUCGAAGGCGCUGUUAGGACUCGGAGGAAGAAGUUGACGGUGGCCAGACAGAAUCCUGUAUUUGAAUGGAAUUUAUGCAUCAUGUAUGAACUGUAUGACUAUGCAACAAGCUAUUGCUUUUAAGGGUUAAUCCUCUGUUAACGGGUGUCCUUUUUCAGGCUUGUGCUGUCCAGAAAAAGGUACCCGGACGUCUGUAACUCUUUGUAUUUAUUGUCUCAUAUUCUCCUAAUUCAAAUUGUCCAAAUUAUUAUUACUCUAACUGUGUUACUAUUUUU